GGUACGAGUGGAAAUAUUGAGUGAUCUUUUAUUGUCUAUUCUCCUCCACUUACCUACUGAAUUUUAAUGCCAUACACUGUAGGAAGAAGGAGGAAAAAAUAAUAAAUAUUUAUUUGUUUAUUAGACGAAAUUGCUGUUGGUUCUAGUUUCAUAGAAUAUUGAUGUUUCUAAAGAAGCA